GAUGAAGAACGUAGCGAAUUGCGAUAUGUAAUGUGAAUUGCAGAAUUCAGUGAAUCAUCGAAUCUUUGAACGCACAUUGCGCCCGCCAGUAUUCUGGCGGGCAUGCCUGUCUGAGCGUCAUUUCAACCCUCAUGCCCCUAGGGCGUGGUGUUGGGGAUCGGCCAAAGCCCGCGAGGGACGGCCGGCCCCUAAAUCUAGUGGCGGACCCGUCGUGGCCUCCUCUGCGAAGUAGUGAUAUUCCGCAUCGGAGAGCGAUGAGCCCCUGCCGUUAAACCCCCAACUUUCCAAGGUUGACCUCAGAUCAGGUAGGAAUACCCGCUGAACUUAAGCAUAUCAAUAAGCGGAGGA
rnacentral:misc_RNA from 1 species